UACGGAGGGUGGCGAGCGUUGUCCGGAAUCACUGGGCGUAAAGGGCGCGUAGGCGGCCUGGCAAGUCGGUGGUGAAAGCUCGGGAGCUCAACUCCGAGUCGGCCAUCGAUACUGCUAGUGGCUCGGAGUCGACUAGAGGCAGAUGGAAAUUCCGGGUGUAGCGGUGGAAUGCGUAGAGAUCCGGAAGAACACCGGUGGCGAAGGCGGUC
rnacentral:rRNA from 1 species